UACGAAGGGGGCUAGCGUUGCUCGGAAUUACUGGGCGUAAAGCGCACGUAGGCGGUUUCUUAAGUCGGUGGUGAAAUCCUGGAGCUCAACUCCAGAACUGCCUUCGAUACUGGGAAACUUGAGUCCGGGAGAGGUGAGUGGAACUGCGAGUGUAGAGGUGAAAUUCGUAGAUAUUCGCAAGAACACCAGUGGCGAAGGCGGCUCUCUGGACCGUAACUGACGCUGAGGCGCGAAAGCGUGGGGAGCAAACAGG
rnacentral:rRNA from 1 species